rnacentral:rRNA from 1 species
AUGCAGUCGUGCGAGAAGGGACUUCGGUCCUGAGUAGAGCGGCGCACNNNNNNAGUAACGCGUGGGUAAUCUCCCUUGGUGAUCGGGAUAACAGCGGGAAACUGCUGCUAAUACCGGAUAAUCUUCAUGUUUAACUUCAUGGGGUAAAGGUGGCCUCUGCUUGCAAGCUACCACACCGAGAUGAGCCCGCGUCUCAUUAGCUAGUUGGUAGGGUAAUGGCCUACCAAGGCUACGAUGAGUAGCUGGUCUGAGAGGAUGACCAGCCACACUGGGACUGGAACACGGCCCAGACUCCUACGGGAGGCAGCAGUGGGGAAUAUUGCGCAAUGGGCGAAAGCCUGACGCAGCGACGCCUCGUGAGGGAUGAAGGUCUUCGGAUCGUAAACCUCUGUCAAGAGGGAAGAAACCCUUGGAUUCGAAUAGGGUCCUUGGCUGACGGUACCUCAAAAGGAAGCACCGGCUAACUCCGUGCCAGCAGCCGCGGUAAUACGGAGGGUGCAAGCGUUAAUCGGAAUCACUGGGCGUAAAGCGCUCGUAGGCUGUUCGGUCAGUCAGAUGUGAAAGCCCUCGGCUUAACCGGGGAACUGCAUUUGAUACUGCCAGACUUGAGUGUCGGAGAGGGUGGCGGAAUUCCGGGUGUAGGAGUGAAAUCCGUAGAUAUCCGGAGGAACACCAGUGGCGAAGGCGGCCACCUGGACGACAACUGACGCUGAGGAGCGAAAGCGUGGGGAGCAAACAGGAUUAGAUACC